GAAAUGCGAUAAGUAAUGUGAAUUGCAGAAUUCAGUGAAUCAUCGAAUCUUUGAACGCACAUUGCGCCCGCCAGUAUUCUGGCGGGCAUGCCUGUCCGAGCGUCAAUUCAACCAUCAAGCCCCCGGGCUUGUGUUGGGGACCUGCGGCUGCCCGCAGGCCCUGAAAACCAGUGGCGGGCUCGCUGUCACACCGAGCGUAGUAGCAAUCACCUCGCUCAGGGCGUGCUGCGGGUUCCGGCCGUUAAACAGCCUUACAAAACCCAAGGUUGACCUCGGAUCAGGUAGGAAGACCCGCUGAACUUAAGC
rnacentral:misc_RNA from 1 species